rnacentral:other from 1 species
AGUAACCUGAGAUGUACGAUAACUCCUGCUAUUUUGAACCUACAUUUACUUUAAACGGGAUUCCUACAUCAUUGCACGGCUGUCAAGCCCCCACUUUACUGUGCUGCUAUGUAAGGCAGACAGAAAAGGAUUGGAGGGGAAGGCAAAAGUGUGAUUGCGGUCGCCCACCUAGCUUAGCUAGGAGUCAAAGUGCAGGAAGCGGCAUUUUGGGGAUAUA